UUGAACGCUGGCGGAAUGCUUUACACAUGCAAGUCGAGCGGCAGCGCGGGGGCAACCCUGGCGGCGAGCGGCGAACGGGUGAGUAAUACAUCGGAACGUACCCAGUUGUGGGGGAUAGCCCGGCGAAAGCCGGAUUAAUACCGCAUAAGUCCUGAGGGAGAAAGCGGGGGACCGUAAGGCCUCGCGCGAUUGGAGCGGCCGAUGUUCGAUUAGCUAGUUGGUGGGGUAAAGGCCUACCAAGGCGACGAUCCGUAGCUGGUCUGAGAGGAUGAUCAGCCACACUGGGACUGAGACACGGCCCAGACUCCUACGGGAGGCAGCAGUGGGGAAUUUUGGACAAUGGGCGCAAGCCUGAUCCAGCCAUGCCGCGUGAGUGAAGAAGGCCUUCGGGUUGUAAAGCUCUUUCAGACGGAAAGAAAUCGGGCGGGUGAAUAGCCUGCCUGGAUGACGGUACUGUCAGAAGAAGCACCGGCUAACUACGU
rnacentral:rRNA from 1 species